CCCGCCGUAGCUCAGCGGUAGAGCGCCCGGCUGUAGGACCCGUACGUGGUCCACCCCCGGAGUGGGGCACUCAGCCCCCAGAUGAAGGGGUGGGCAGCAGAAACCGGGUGGCCCGGGGUUCGAGUCCCCGCGGCGGGA
rnacentral:tRNA from 1 species